CCCUAGGCUAGCCCUUCAGGUGUCGCUUAGCUACUAGUCGGCCGUGAGGCUGACGAACGUUGGGCGAGCCACGCUUGGCAGGGCUUGUCUGUUCCGAAACUUGACCUCAAAUCAGGUAGGACUACCCGCUGAACUUAAGCAUAUCAAUAAGCGGAGGAAAAGAAACUAACGAGGAUUCCCCUAGUAACUGCGAGUGAAGCGGGAAGAGCUCAAAUUUCGAAUCUGGCGGUCUUCUGGCCGUCCGAGUUGUAAUCUAGAGAAGCGUUUUCCGCGCUGGACCGUGUAUAAGUCUCCUGGAAGGGAGCGUCGUAGAGGGUGAGAAUCCCGUCUUUGACACGGACUACCAGGGCUAUGUGAUGCGCUCUCGACGAGUCGAGUUGUUUGGGAAUGCAGCUCAAAACGGGUGGUAAAUUCCAUCUAAAGCUAAAUACAGGCGAGAGACCGAUAGCGAACAAGUACCGUGAGGGAAAGAUGAAAAGAACUUUGGAAAGAGAGUUAAACAGUACGUGAAAUUGCUGAAAGGGAAACGCUUGAUGUCAGUCGCGUCGGCCGGGGAUCAACCUUGCUUCUCGCUGGGUGUACUUCUCGGUCGACGGGUCAGCAUCGGUUUCGGUCGCCGUACAAGGGCGAGGGGAACGUGGCACUUACUUCGGGGUGUGUUAUAGCCUUUCGUCGUAUGCGGCGGUCGGGACCGGAGGAACUCAGCACGGCUUCGGU
rnacentral:rRNA from 1 species